GACACAUCAGCCUAUCAGCAGCAGAGCUCACAUUUGGUCACAUCGAGGCAUUGACCAGGAAGCCUCAGCAGUCAGAGGAACUCAACUUCCUGUCAGUGUUCUACAUUGAAAGCCUUCUGUUCCUGCUCAGACUUUUAUUUUGAAGGUCUCUAAUAUUAAAGACCUAUUUGAUAUCAGCUGUGAGGGUCCUUUAAUGGAUAGGACAGACAAGUGUGAAGGAGAGAGGGAGAGACAUGCAGCAAAGGGCCACAGGCUGGAGUCGAACCCGGGCCACUGCGGCAGCAGCCUUGUACAUGGGACGCCUGCUCUAUCCACUAAGCCACCGACGCCCCGUGAUAUUGGGCUUUAUAAAUAACACUGACGGAUUUUUGUACAUUUUUGGAUCGGUGUGACGGGUUCUUCCUGUUCUGUUGACGUGGCAUGAACGCAGCUGAUCGCAGGUCGCCUGAAUCGUUUCAACAGAAUUAAAACUUUUACUGGAGACGGAGAACAAAGAAUCAACUGGGCUGAAACAUUUUAAUAAAUCAAGAUGUAAAUAUGUCACUUCCUAUAUGAACGAGGCUUUGUGUCACUUCCUGUCACCUGCCCUGAGAGAGGAUCCAUGUGAGACACAGACCUCACCUGUGCUGAUGGACAUGUCCCUGAGGUUGGGUUAGAGUCCUAAAGGACGUUACAAUGUUCAGACUGAGAUUGGAGGACAGGUGGAGGACAGGUGGAGUGGAGGACAGGUGGAGGACAGGUAGAGGACAGGUGGAGGACAGGUGGAGUGGAGGACAGGUGGAGGACAGGUAGAGGACAGGUGGAGGACAGGUGGAGGACAGGUGGAGUGGAGGACAGGUGGAGGACAGGUAGAAGACAGGUGGAGGACAGGUGGAGUGGAGGACAGGUGGAGGACAGGUAGAGUGGAGGACAGGUGGAGGACAGGUAGAGUGGAGGACAGGUGGAGGACAGGUGGAGGACAGGUGGAGUGGAGGACAGGAGGAGGACAGGAGGAGGACAGGUGGAGGACAGGUGGAGGACAGGUGGAGUGGAGGACAGGUGGAGGACAGGAGGAGGACAGGAGGAGGACAGGUGGAGGACAGGUGGAGGACAGGUGGAGUGGAGGACAGGUGGAGGACAGGAGGAGGACAGGAGGAGGACAGGUGGAGGACAGGUGGAGUGGAGGACAGGUGGAGGACAGGAGGAGGACAGGAGGAGGACAGGUGGAGGACAGGAG